rnacentral:rRNA from 1 species
CCUACGGGUGGCAGCAGUGAGGAAUAUUGGUCAAUGGACGAGAGUCUGAACCAGCCAAGUAGCGUGAAGGAUGACUGCUCUAUGGGUUGUAAACUUCUUUUAUAAAGGAAUAAAACGAGGCAAGUGUGCCUUUUUGCAUGUACUUUAUGUAUAAGGAUCGGCUAACUCCGUGCCAGCAGCCGCGGUUAUACGGAGGAUCCGAGCGUUAUCCGGAUUUAUUUGGUUUAAAGGGAGCGUAGAUGGGUUGUUAAGUCAGUUGUGAAAGUUUGCGGCUCAAACGUAACAUUGCCUUUGAUACUGGCAGUCGUGAGUACAGGUGAGGUAGGCGGAAGUCGUGGUGUAGCGGUGAAAUGCUUAGAUAUCACAAAGAACCCCGAUUGCGAAGGCAGCUUACUAAACUGUGACUGACAUUGAUGCUCGAAAGCGUGGGUAUCAAACAGGAUUAGAUACCCGAGUAGUC